AGUGGCGGACGGGUGAGUAACACGUAAGAAUUUGCCUUUAGGAGGGGGACAACAACUAGAAAUGGUUGCUAAUACCCCAUAUGCUUUCGAGUGAAAUGGAUUUUUCCGCCUAGAGAGAAGCUUGCGGCUGAUUAGCUUGUUGGUGAGGUAAUGGCUCACCAAGGCGACGAUCAGUAUCUGGUUUGAGAGGACGAUCAGACACACUGGAACUGAGACACGGUCCAGACUCCUACGGGAGGCAGCAGUGGGGAAUUUUCCGCAAUGGGCGAAAGCCUGACGGAGCAAUACCGCGUGAGGGAUGACGGCCUAUGGGUUGUAAACCUCUUUUUUCAGGGAGGAAUCAAUGACGUGUACCUGAAGAAUAAGCAUCGGCUAACUCCGUGCCAGCAGCCGCGGUAAGACGGGGGAUGCAAGUGUUAUCCGGAAUCACUGGGCGUAAAGCGACUGUAGGUGGUCCAAUAAGUCAACUGUUAAAUCUUGAGGCUCAACCUCAAAAUCGCAGUCGAAACUAUUAGACUAGAGUAUAGUAGGGGUAAAGGGAAUUUCCAGUGGAGCGGUGAAAUGCGUAGAGAUUGGAAAGAACACCGAUGGCGAAGGCACUUUACUGGGCUAUUACUAACACUCAGAGACGAAAGCUAGGGUAGCAAAUGGGAUUAGAUACCCCAGUAGUCCUAGCCGUAAACAAUGGAUACUAGAUGUU
rnacentral:rRNA from 1 species